rnacentral:rRNA from 1 species
AGGAUUAACGCUGGCGGCGUGCCUGACACAUGCAAGUCGAACGAGGCCGCAAGGCCGAGUGGCGGACGGGUGAGUAACACGUGACCAACCAACCUCGAAGUUGGGAAUAGCUCUGCGAAAGUAGGGGUAAUACCGAAUGUGGCCCAGGGCGGGCAUCCGCCUUGGUCUAAAGAUUCAUCGCUUCGAGACGGGGUCGCGGCCUAUUAGCUUGUUGGUGAGGUAACGGCUCACCAAGGCGAUGAUGGGUAGCUGGUCUGAGAGGACGACCAGCCACACUGGGACUGAGACACGGCCCAGACUCCUACGGGAGGCAGCAGUGAGGAAUCUUCCGCAAUGGGCGAAAGCCUGACGGAGCAACGCCGCGUGUGGGAUGAAGACUCUAGGGUUGUAAACCACUGUCGGAGGGGACGAUCGUGACGGUACCCUCAAGAAACGCCCCGGCUAACUACGCGCCAGCAGCCGC